rnacentral:rRNA from 1 species
CCUACGGGAUGCAGCAGUCGAGAAUCAUUCACAAUGGGGGAAACCCUGAUGGUGCGACGCCGCGUGGGGGAAUGAAGGUCUUCGGAUUGUAAACCCCUGUCAUGUGGGAGCAAAUUAAAAAGAUAGUACCACAAGAGGAAGAGACGGCUAACUCUGUGCCAGCAGCCGCGGUAAUACAGAGGUCUCAAUCGUUGUUCGGAAUCACUGGGCGUAAAGCGUGCGUAGGCUGUUUCGUAAGUCGUGUGUGAAAGGCGCGGGCUCAACCCGCGGACGGCACAUGAUACUGCGAGACUAGAGUAAUGGAGGGGGAACCGGAAGUCUCGGGGUAGCAGUGAAAUGCGGAGAUAUCGAGAGGAACACUCGUGGCGAAGGCGGGUUCCUGGACAUUAACUGACGCUGAGGCACGAAGGCCAGGGGAGCGAAAGGGAUUAGAUACCCCAGUAGUC